UACGUAGGGCGCAAGCGUUGUCCGGAAUUAUUGGGCGUAAAGAGCUCGUAGGCGGUUUGUCGCGUCUGUCGUGAAAGCCCCGGGCUCAACCUGGGAAUGGCGAUGGAUACUGGCGGGCUAGAGUGCGGUAGAGGAGAGUGGAAUUCCCGGUGUAGCAGUGAAAUGCGUAGAGAUCGGGAGGAACAUCAGUUGCGAAGGCGGCUCUCUGGACCAGCACUGACACUGAGGCACGAAAGCGUGGGGAGCAAACAGG
rnacentral:rRNA from 1 species